ensembl:lncRNA
UUUCUGUAAAAGCGAAAUACAGUUUUGAAUUAGGUCAAUAAAUAUCUGGAGGAGUAUCAUCUGAACUGAGAUCUGCUGCUGUGAAGAUGAUGUUUGUUAAAGAGGAGAGUGAAGCGAACACGAGUGAACCAGAAACCUGGAGAAUAAAACAAGAGGAACCAGAAACCUGGAGAAUAAAACAUGAGGAACAAGGAGGACAGUGAGGCAGCAAAUGACAGACUAAUCCACUUUCUGAAGCUUGGAUUACCCCAGGAAACCAUCAGUAACAUUUCAGGUGUCACUCAUACAACUAUCGUUCUUCGGAUGAGAGAAUGUGGCUGGCCAGUAUCAGAAUCCAAUAAGUAACCCUGAGACGGAGUAUUCAGACUCAAUGACAGUUGAACAAGAUGGUGGAGAUGCUGACCAUGUUCAUGUAAUUUUGACAGCAAGGUUGUAAAUGUGUAUAUAUAGUUGUAUAUUAAGUAGAACUUGUGGGGGGAAAAAAACUUAAGACAUAUGUAAAAUAAAGACAGACUCUGAAAAAUAAUUUAAUUUAUU